CAUAACUACAGUCAUGUUUACUCAGUUACACCUAAGAAAUACAGACAACUUCUAGAAGAGUAGGUGAGGAGUGCUCUACAGCUUUUUCAGAAGGGUGAGACAGGUGUUGCCCGCAAGCAAUCUGCUACGGAGACUUGCUGAAAGGGCAAACAAAUGCUGGUAGUUAUCUCAAAAGCUUUAGAGAGGCAAAGCUCUGCAAAAGAGAAACCAUUAGUUGUUCAGGGAUAUAGGAAAGGUAGCAAACACUCAAGCCAGGCUUCACAUGGAAUUUAGUUACCUGGCUGUUUGUAAUACUUAGUCAAUAUUCAUAUUUAGGUAUCAGGGCGACAAGAUGUGAAAUCUUCAAAAUCUUCACAUAAAGCUGUGAUAGCUCAAGCUUAGGAAGCAAUUGUACAGAAUUAAACAGUUUAAACAAUCAGAACUUGGAAAAUUGGAACGUGAGAACAGAAGAAUUCCAACUAUGCCUUUGGAGCUUUGGCAUUCCAGCAUGUGUACUCACGACUCCUCUGGUCCCUGAGACAGCCAUUCGUCUUUGGGCCUGCCAACCCAGCCAGUUUUUGCUACCCGAUGAAGCAUACAGCCAUCCAAACCGUGAGCAGCUGCUUUCUCCAGGAGGAUGACCAGGGACCGCCCAGGGAGACUGAGAAGAGCUUUAGAAGGUAAAUAUUAUAUGUAUUCUAUCAGUAUGUGAAGCUUUUUUACUAUAUUCUACAAUUGAAAAAUACCUUCACUAGCAGCCUGCACAGGCAAAGAGAGAAUGGGUCUCAAAUUUUUUCAACAAGAUGGAGAGAUAAUUUGUGCUCAUAUGGAAUGGUAUUUGCCUUGGUACCAACAGAUUCCUGGCUGUGUUGCUGUAAUUACCAAAAGGAGUUGCUGCAAAAGAAGUUCUGGCCAUGUUGUCAGUGUAAACACUCUGGUACAGGCCAAGAUGAGAUAAAAAUGCCAUCCAUUUUGUUCUACCAAGGCAUAUAUUCCCCCAGACUCUCCUGGGUAGACAGCUGGAGACUUUUCUCCUCCUUUGUGCCUGCAAGGCCAAAAACUAAAACAAGACGUGGUUGUUCUUUCGCUAUUAGGAAUUCCUUAUGCAUCCAGAGAACAGCACAGUGCUGACUUUAUUUUCACUGCUUCAAGCUGGAAAGACAAGUUAAAUGGCAGAGAGUGGUUGAAUUUAAACCUUCCAGAAGACAGAAGCAGUUGUAGUGGAUGAAGCCAGAACACAGCAUUCAGAAACAUACUGUGCAUGUUAUUACUACCAAAGUAAUUAGUUUGAACCAGCUCUGCCCAGUGUUUUAAGGAUCUUUAAUGUAUCUGGCAAUAUACUGUAAAGACUCUCA